AUUGUGCAAUCUUAAAGAAAAAGGAGGCUCCUUGAAAUAUAAUUUUUUUUUUUUUUUGAGAUGGAGUCUUGCUCUGUAAGCAUCAUUUGAUGUAACUGAUGUUCCCUCUUCCUUUAAACUCUUUUUUCACUUGUCUUUUGGGACUUGGUUUUCUUUCUAACUCACUUGCCAUUUCUCACAAGUGAUGCCCUGGCUCCCACUCUUGUUCCCUCGACAGUCCUUUCUCUGGGCAGCAAGCCAGAGUGGUCCUCCUAAGACAUAAGUCAGACCACGUUUCUUUUAAGCUAAAGCCAUCCAACCGUUCCUCUAACUCAUUCUAAGUUGGAUCUGCCCCUGGCUACCUCUCUGCUUCAUCUACUACUUUCCCACUUGUGCCCUCCACUAUAGACUUUCGUGCUGCUCUAGGAACAUAUAAUAAGUAUGUUC
rnacentral:lncRNA from 1 species